rnacentral:rRNA from 1 species
AUGGACGCGGUGCGAGGAAGCGGUGCGACGCCGGCGGACCAGACAGUCCAGACGACAGUCUCGGCGGCCGCCGCGCUGCUCAACGCGCUUGCCAGGGAGUUCGUGCCCAUGGGCGCCGCCGCCGACGUGCUGAACCCACUCGCCAAGGAGUCUUUGCCCGUGGGCGCUGCCGCCGCGCUUAACCCGCUCGCCAGGGAGUUCGUGCCGUGGUGGCGCGUUGGGGGCCGAUCAAGGAGGGGGCUCUCCGCAGACGCGCCGGAGUUCGUCGUGACGCAGGGGCUCUACUUGCAGGAUCCCACGGUGGUCGACUACCCUGCGCGCGGCACCGGCGUCUACAUCGGCAAUGCCGUCCCAACGAGGACCUGGAGAAGAUCAAGGGUUAGCAACUACUCGCAACAGGGAAGGUCCAGGUAUUCUUACCGGGUUCAAAGGAUCCACGACAAAGAAUUUGUGAGAAGAACAAUUUAUGUUGCCGAUAUUGAUCACUCUGUCACCGAAGAAAUGUUGGCUGGGCUCUUUGGGAUAUGCGGAGUCGUUGUAGAUUGUCGUCUUAGUGGAGACCCCACUUCUGGAUUUCGCUUUGCAUUCAUAGAGUUUCAGCAUCAGGAGAACCCAGCUAUUGCGCUACAUCUUGAUGGGAUCAUUAUAGGACUUCACCCUCUGAAAGUAGCACCUUCUAGGAAUGCAAUCGCGCCUAUCAAGCAUUCAUUUCUUCCUCGGUCUGAAGAUGAAAAGGAGAGGUCUUCAAGGACAGUAUAUUGCACUAAUAUUGAACAUAUGGUCACUGCCGCCGAGCUAAAGGACUUCUUCGAGAGAUAUUUUGGCUUGGUUUCUCAUGUAAGGCUUUUGGGUCAUAACAACCAUGCCACUCAGAUAGCUUUUAUUGAGUUUGUGGAGGUUAGUGGCGCCAUUAUUGCUUUGAGCUCGAGUGGCAUAUACAUGAGAGGCCUUGCUAUCAGGGUGGUCCCUUCAAAGACACCAAUCAGGACAACCUUCAAUGAUAAUCGGCACCUUGAUCACUAG